rnacentral:rRNA from 1 species
UAUUGGACAAUGGGCGAAAGCCUGAUCCAGCCAUGCCGCGUGAGUGAUGAAGGCCCUAGGGUUGUAAAGCUCUUUCACCGGGGAAGAUAAUGACGGUACCCGGAGAAGAAGCCCCGGCUAACUUCGUGCCCGCAGCCGCGGUAAUACGAAGGGGGCUAGCGUUGUUCGGAAUUACUGGGCGUAAAGCGCACGUAGGCGGAUCAGUCAGUUAGGGGUGAAAUCCCGGGGCUCAACCCCGGAACUGCCUUUAAUACUGCUGGUCUAGAGUUCGAGAGAGGUGAGUGGAAUUCCGAGUGUAGAGGUGAAAUUCGUAGAUAUUCGGAGUAACACCAGUGGCGAAGGCGGCUCACUGGCUCGAUACUGACGCUGAGGUGCGAAAGCGUGGGGAGCAAACAGG